CGCAUGGGGAUAUUGCGAUCUCCCCACGAGGCGACAUGCCCAAGUAUCGCGUCCCGUUUUCCUUGACGAGGGCGCAGCCAUG
rfam:Bradyrhizobium lablabi strain CCBAT 23086 scaffold33, whole genome shotgun sequence.